rnacentral:rRNA from 1 species
GACGAACGCUGGCGGCGUGCUUAACACAUGCAAGUCGAACGAUGAAGCCGGAGCUUGCUCUGGUGAAUUAGUGGCGAACGGGUGAGAAACACGUGAGUAACCUGCCCUUGACUCUGGGAUAACUGCGGGAAACUGUAGCUAAUACCGGAUACGACCCUAGGAGGCAUCUCCUGGGGGUGGAAAGAAUUUCGGUCAAGGAUGGACUCGCGGCCUAUCAGCUAGUUGGUGAGGUAAAGGCUCACCAAGGCGACGACGGGUAGCCGGCCUGAGAGGGUGACCGGCCACACUGGGACUGAGACACGGCCCAGACUCCUACGGGAGGCAGCAGUGGGGAAUAUUGCACAAUGGGCGCAAGCCUGAUGCAGCAACGCCGCGUGAGGGAUGACGGCCUUCGGGUUGUAAACCUCUUUUAGCAGGGAAGAAGCGAAAGUGACGGUACCUGCAGAAAAAGCACCGGCUAACUACGUGCCAGCCGCCGCGGUAA